UGCAAAGCACUUCAAGACCUAGAAAAACA
rnacentral:piRNA from 1 species